rnacentral:rRNA from 1 species
GAUCCUGGCUCAGGAUGAACGCUGGCGGCGUGCCUAACACAUGCAAGUCGAACGGACUUUUCAUGAAGCCUAGCGAUUGAAAAGUUAGUGGCGGACGGGUGAGUAACGCGUGGGUAACCUGCCUUGUACUGGGGGACAACAGUUGGAAACGACUGCUAAUACCGCAUAAGCGCACAGCUUCGCAUGAAGCAGUGUGAAAAAUUCCGGUGGUACAAGAUGGACCCGCGUCUGAUUAGCUGGUUGG